UUCUUCCUGGACACGGACUCCUGCACGGGCACGAGUUCUUCACUGUCCCGACCCAAAUCUUCGAUGGAUUUGAUCCGUUCUUGACCUCUCUCCCACGCCCUACCCUCUAUAUAUUCUGCCCUACUCGUCCUAGUCGGGUUUUCGCCAAAAUCUCCUUCUCCUGUGCCCUACAGAGCCGCCCCGAUCUCGUCGCCGGAGUCCGCCGCCCGAAGCUCCUGUCGCCGGUCUCUUUCGCCGCCGUCAGAGGGGGAGCACAAGGACGACCGCAACGACCGUGGUCCGGAGCUCAACUCCCCUGCCGCCGCUCCAGCCGCUCGCCAUCGCUAUCCGAGGAUCUCCCAGCCACCGUCGACGUCGCCAAGAUCACCCCCGAGGAAGUCCGCACCCGUAGGCCACCCCCUCUUCACCUCCGUGGCCGUCACCUGCAUCACCACCGAACAGCCCGCGUGUCGUUCUUCCCCAAGUCCGGCGGUCUUCUCCUGUUUCUCCGAUUGUCCGGAGUGUGAAGCGGAUCAGAAUUAAGCAUUAGAGUACUUCAACAUCGUUCAAGGCAAGUUUGCACUUUAAUUUUGCUUAUCCUAUAUUCUACUAUGCAAGCGUGGUUUUAUGUUAUGCUAUAUGUUUGGCUUGAUAUGUGUAUUCUGUGUUACCAUGUUUUGUUGUUGAUUGUGGUAUGUGAUGGUGUGAUCAACUUGCUAUGGUAGACGCGGGCAUGUGUCGAGUGAUCCAUGAAAGUGGUGAUUGUUUAUAGCCAUAGGCUCGGGAUCAUUAACCAGGUGAAUGCGUCACUGGCAGAGCGCUCUAUUGUCCCUAGAGAAUGCGCCAUUGACAGAGCGCACUUGAGGCGAGGUAUAGUUUUCAGAAUGUAAAUCAGGUGAAUGUGUCCUUGGUAGAGCGCUCUAUUGCUCCUAGAGAAUGUGCCACUGACAGAGCGCACUUGAGAGAUACUUCUGAAGUUCUUGUCAUGUUUAUUUAGAAUCUUCGGGUUAUCUUGGGUGAGUAAAUUAGAGACGGUUGUGAGUUCAGGUAGUGGAGGUAGGUGAAGUUCUUCUCCAAACUAACUUGUGUGUUUUGUUUGUCAUACAUUGCUUUGUGGAUGUAGGUUUGCUAUAUCAUAUUGUGCGAUUUGCCAAUACAUUCAAUGUAGGUUUGCUAUAUCAUACUUAUCAUGUUGCAGGAUUUUUAGAUGAUCAGUGAGAUACAGUACGGUCGCGAGUCUUCACUUAACAUUUUCGCCAAUGGGCAUUGAUGGGAUUCAUCGUUUGCUUAUGCUACAUUUCCGCUGUUAGUAUUGAAUAAAGUUAGCUAUGUGCUACUCAGUUUGUAAUACUUUAUGAAUUCUGGAUCAUACGUUAUAGUAAAUGAUUCACUUGUUAUUUGAUAUUCAUAUGUACUGUGUGUGCUAGCGACUAGAUCCAGGAACUAGCACAGUGGGCACGGAGACAUCGAAUCUUAUCAGGUUCGGGCCGUUACAGUUUUGAAAUUCAGACAGAAAUUUAUAUAGGUUUCAAAUU